rnacentral:rRNA from 1 species
GACGAACGUUGGCGGCGUGCUUAACACAUGCAAGUCGAACGGAAAGGCCCUGCUUUUGUGGGGUGCUCGAGUGGCGAACGGGUGAGUAACACGUGAGUAACCUGCCCUUGACUUUGGGAUAACUUCAGGAAACUGGGGCUAAUACCGGAUAGGAGCUCCUGCUGCAUGGUGGGGGUUGGAAAGUUUCGGCGGUUGGGGAUGGACUCGCGGCUUAUCAGCUUGUUGGUGGGGUAGUGGCUUACCAAGGCUUUGACGGGUAGCCGGCCUGAGAGGGUGACCGGCCAUAUUGGGACUGAGAUACGGCCCAGACUCCUACGGGAGGCAGCAGUGGGGAAUAUUGCACAAUGGGCGGAAGCCUGAUGCAGCAACGCCGCGUGCGGGGUGACGGCCUUCGGGUUGUAAACCGCUUUCGCCUGUGACGAAGCGUGAGUGACGGUAAUGGGUAAAGAAGCACCGGCUAACUACGUGCCAGCAGCCGCGGUGAUACGUAGGGUGCGAGCGUUGUCCGGAUUUAUUGGGCGUAAAGGGCUCGUAGGUGGUUGAUCGCGUCGGAAGUGUAAUCUUGGGGCUUAACCCUGAGCGUGCUUUCGAUACGGGUUGACUUGAGGAAGGUAGGGGAGAAUGGAAUUCCUGGUGGAGCGGUGGAAUGCGCAGAUAUCAGGAGGAACACCAGUGGCGAAGGCGGUUCUCUGGGCCUUUCCUGACGCUGAGGAGCGAAAGCGUGGGGAGCGAACAGGCUUAGAUACCCUGGUAGUCCACGCUGUAAACGGUGGGUACUAGGUGUGGGGUCCAUUCCACGGGUUCCGUGCCGUAGCUAACGCUUUAAGUACCCCGCCUGGGGAGUACGGCCGCAAGGCUAAAACUCAAAGGAAUUGACGGGGCCCCGCACAAGCGGCGGAGCAUGCGGAUUAAUUCGAUGCAACGCGUAGAACCUUACCUGGGUUUGACAUGGAUCGGGAGUGCUCAGAGAUGGGUGUGCCUCUUUUGGGGUCGGUUCACAGGUGGUGCAUGGCUGUCGUCAGCUCGUGUCGUGAGAUGUUGGGUUAAGUCCCGCAACGAGCGCAACCCUUGUUCACUGUUGCCAGCACGUUAUGGUGGGGACUCAGUGGAGACCGCCGGGGUCAACUCGGAGGAAGGUGGGGAUGACGUCAAGUCAUCAUGCCCCUUAUGUCCAGGGCUUCACGCAUGCUACAAUGGCUGGUACAGAGAGUGGCGAGCCUGUGAGGGUGAGCGAAUCUCGGAAAGCCGGUCUCAGUUCGGAUUGGGGUCUGCGACUCGACCUCAUGAAGUCGGAGUCGCUAGUAAUCGCAGAUCAGCAACGCUGCGGCGAAUACGUUCCCGGGGCU